AUGUCUCUGCGGUGCUCGCGACUGACAUGUGUCUUGAGCCGAUAAGCAAAUUGCAUGGAUAUCAAAUUUAGGUUGGCGUGCAUGCCCACAAGAUGGGAAGCCCGAUACCUAAACUAGGUAACCACUUGAACCCAAUGGUUCAAGAACCCCGUCACAACGACACUGUGGGGACUAU
rfam:Methylophaga sp. 41_12_T18 BD02T18_scaffold_48, whole genome shotgun sequence.